rnacentral:rRNA from 1 species
AGGGUUUGAUCCUGGCUCAGAACGAACGCUGGCGGCGUGGUUGAUACAUGCAAGUCGAACGGGAACGUUUCCUUCGGGAAACUAGUAUAGUGGCGGACGGGUGAGUAAUGCUUGAUCAACCUGCCCUUGAGAUCGGGAUAGCCAUUCGAAAGGAUGGGUAAUACCGGAUAAGACCACGGUAUCGCAUGGUACAGUGGUAAAAAGGUUGGGAUUUUCGGACCUUCUGCUCGAGGAUGGGAUCAAGUUCUAUCAGCUUGUUGGUGAGGUAAUGGCUCACCAAGGCUUUGACGGAUAGCCGGCCUGAGAGGGUGAACGGCCACACUGGAACUGAGACACGGUCCAGGCUCCUACGGGAGGCAGCAGUGCUGAAUUAUUCGCCAAUGCGCGAAAGCGUGACGGUGCGACGCCGCGUGCGGGACGAAGGCUUUCGGGUUGUAAACCGCUGUCAAGAUAUAGAAAACUGGUGUCGUUAAUAGCGGCAUCACUGAUCAUAUUUAAAGGAAGCACAGGCUAAUCUCGUGCCAGCAGCCGCGGUAAUACGAGAUGUGCGAGCGUUGUUCGGAAUUACUGGGCAUAAAGGGUGCGUAGGCGGUCUUGCAAGUUGGGUGUGAAAUCCCCUGGCUCAACCAGGGAAUUGCACCCAAUACUACAAGACUUGAGAGUGAAAGGGGUAAGUGGAAUUCCAGGUGUAGCGGUGGAAUGCGUAGAUAUCUGGGAGAACGCCAAGGGCGAAGGCAGCUUACUGGGUCACUUCUGACGCUGAGGCACGAAAGCUAGGGGAGCAAACAGGAUUAGAUACCCUGGUAGUCCUAGCCGUAAACGAUGGGUACUUUGUCACGGGAAGUCUGAUCUUCUCGGGGCCGUAGUUAACGCGUUAAGUACCCCGCCUGGGGAGUAUGGUCGCAAGGCUAAAACUCAAAGGAAUUGACGGGGGCUCACACAAGCGGUGGAGCAUGUUGUUCAAUUCGAAUCAACGCGAAGAACCUUACCUGGACUUGACAUGGCAGUAGUAGAACCCUGAAAGGGUAACCACCGGUAUCCAGUCCGGAGCUGUCACAGGUGCUGCAUGGCUGUCGUCAGCUCGUGUCGUGAGACGUUGGGUUAAGUCCCGUAACGAGCGAAACCCUCGUCGUCUGUUGCUACCGGGUCAUGCCGGGCACUCUGGCGAGACUGCCGGUGUUAAACCGGAGGAAGGUGGGGACGACGUCAAGUCAUCAUGGUCCUUACGUCCAGGGCUACAAACGUGCUACAAUGGCGAGUACAGAGAGCCGCAAUACCGCGAGGUGGAGCAAAUCUUCAAAACUCGCCCCAGUUCAGAUUGGAGGCUGCAAUUCGCCUCCAUGAAGUCGGAAUCGCUAGUAAUCGCGGAUCAGCUACGCCGCGGUGAAUACGUUCCUGAGCCUUGUACACACCGCCCGUCAAGCCACCCAAGCUGGAAGCACCCGAAGUCCGGCGCCAAUAGUCCGGCCGAAGGUGAGUCUGGUGAGGGGGACUAAGUCGUAACAAGGUA